AUGCCUCUAAGUUGUGCCCCGACACGUGGGAGAUAUAGCCGCAUCGUGGGUGUUACAUAUGACAUAUUCGACUCACCAAAUGAAGGGAUUGGAAGAUGCUUCAUGGCUAAAGGCCCCAAGGUAUCACACCCCGAGUAUGUUGAUUUCAAUAGUGAUGAAGAUAAUUUGCUAGGUGAUGAUGAUUCACUUGUUGACAACACUAGUGAUGAAAACUAUGAUGAAAUUGCUAUUAAUCAUGCUAAUCAAGAUGAAGCGAAUGACAAUGAUAAGAAGGAGAUUGAGUGUCUAACUAAAGAACCAAACACUCUUAAGUUAGCUCAUGAAACUACCUUAGAGGAUCAUCGAGAGUUUUCAAAGACUCAUGAGAAUUUAUGCUUUGAAAAGCUCAAUUUAGAGCAAGAGCAUGGGUUCUUAAAGGCAAUCAAUGAUGAUCUUCGUAAGAAAAGUUCUUCUUACAUUGCCAAGUGUUUACUCUUGUCUACUUACAUGCCACAAGUAAAAUCUAGCAACAAGAGCAAAAAAGAUUCUUCUUCUAGUAGUAACAAUAAUCAUGCUAAAUCCAAUAUUGUUGCUUCUAGUAGUUCUCUUGAUUCCACUAAUGAUUCUCUUAGCCAAGUUACAGUUGAGCAAGAAAAUAGCUUAUUGAAGGGAAUUACAGCGAAAGGUGUUUACAAGAGCCUUGCCGGAAGUAAGCAAUUUGAGGAAAUUGUACGCAAGCAAGGAAGGCAUCGGAAGAAUCAAGGUGUUGGUUUUGAAUGCAAGUUCAAUGCCAAUGUAAUUGAGUGGCAAGAAGAUCAAUACCCCAAUACGAAGUUUGUUCCUCAACAAGAGAAGUAUGAUCCCACUUCUUUCAAGGGAACACAAGUUAACGAUGAUCUUCCACCACAAGACCACAAACUAAAAGGCAAGGACAAGCUUCAAGAAGAGAUUGAUUCAUUUGAAGAAGCUCCAAAGGCCUUGGUCAAGUGGGUUCCCAAGAUUACACCAAGUUCUACUUCAUCAAGUACGACUACAACUCCAAGGAUCCCCAUCAAGUUGAUGUGGGUCCCAAAGAAGAAGAACUAG
rnacentral:rRNA from 1 species